AUUGAACGCUGGCGGCAGGCCUAACACAUGCAAGUCGAACGAGUGGCGGACUGGUGAGUAAUUUCUGGGAAACUGCCUGAUGGCGGGGGAUAACUACUUGAAACGGUAGCUACUCCCGCAUACCAUCAUAUGUGCCCAGAUGGGAUUUGCUAGUUGGUGGGGUAACGGCUCACGAAGGCGACGAUCCCUAGCUGGUCUGAGAGGAUGACCAGUAACAGUGGAACUGAGAUACGAGCAUGACUCCUACGGGAGGCAGCAGUGGGGAAUAGCGCACAGUGGGCGCAAGCCUGAUGCAGCCAUGCCGCGUGUAUGAAGAAGGCCUUCGGGUUGUAAAGUACUUUCAGCGUGGAGGCGUUACCCGCAGAAGAAGCACCGGCUAACUCCGUGCCAGCAGCCGCGGUAAUAC
rnacentral:rRNA from 1 species